AGAGCGAACGCUGGCGGCAGGCCUAAUACAUGCAAGUCGAACGGAUCCUUCGGGAUUAGUGGCGGACGGGUGAGUAACACGUGGGAACGUGCCCUUUGGUUCGGAACAACUCAGGGAAACUUGAGCUAAUACCGAAUGUGCCCUUCGGGGGAAAGAUUUAUCGCCAUUGGAGCGGCCCGCGUCUGAUUAGCUAGUUGGUAGGGUAAAGGCCUACCAAGGCUACGAUCAGUAGCUGGUCUGAGAGGAUGAUCAGCCACACUGGGACUGAGACACGGCCCAGACUCCUACGGGAGGCAGCAGUAGGGAAUCUUGCGCAAUGGGCGAAAGCCUGACGCAGCCAUGCCGCGUGAAUGAUGAAGGUCUUAGGAUUGUAAAAUUCUUUCAGCGGGGACGAUAAUGACGGUACCGCAGAAGAAGCCCCGGCUAACUUCGUGCCAGCAGCCGC
rnacentral:rRNA from 1 species